AGAGUUUGAUCCUGGCUCAGAUUGAACGCUGGCGGCAGGCCUAACACAUGCAAGUCGAGCGGUAGAGAGAAGCUUGCUUCUCUUGAGAGCGGCGGACGGGUGAGUAAUGCCUAGGAAUCUGCCUAGUGGUGGGGGAUAACGUUCGGAAACGGACGCUAAUACCGCAUACGUCCUACGGGAGAAAGCGGGGGACCUUCGGGCCUCGCGCCAUUAGAUGAGCCUAGGUCGGAUUAGCUAGUUGGUGAGGUAAUGGCUCACCAAGGCGACGAUCCGUAACUGGUCUGAGAGGAUGAUCAGUCACACUGGAACUGAGACACGGUCCAGACUCCUACGGGAGGCAGCAGUGAGGAAUAUUGGUCAAUGGGCGAAAGCCUGAACCAGCCAUGUCGCGUGCAGGACGACGGCCCUACGGGUUGUAAACUGCUUUUGUACGGGAAGAAAAAAGGCCACGUGUGGCCUCUUGCCGGUACCGUACGAAUAAGGAUCGGCUAACUCCGUGCCAGCAGCCGCGGUAAUACGGAGGAUCCGAGCGUUAUCCGGAUUUAUUGGGUUUAAAGGGUGCGUAGGCGGGCCUUUAAGUCGGCGGUGAAAGUUUGGCGCUCAACGUUAAAAUUGCCGUUGAUACUGGAGGCCUUGAGUACGGUUGAGGUAGGCGGAACGUGGUGUGUAGCGGUGAAAUGCUUAGAUAUGCCACAGAACACCGAUUGCGUAGGCAGCUUACUAAAGCGUAACUGACGCUGAGGCACGAAAGCGUGGGGAUCAAACAGGAUUAGAUACCCUGGUAGUCC
rnacentral:rRNA from 1 species